GCCUAUGUUUAUUUUUUUAUUUAAAAUACAGACAGUAAGACAAAAAAAUAUUCUUAGCCUUUACCCACAUAUCAGCAGCUAGUUUGCUAGUUACAUGUCCAUUGAAUCCAGUGUAACAUUUAAUCUAAGUUCAAUGUUUCGAAAUGAAAAAAACACUGAGCCAUUUUCUGCAAUGCUUUUGUCUUAAACAGAGACAACAUCCUGGAGGCUGUUAAAGCAGAAGACCUUAUGACAGAUGAAGAGAUCACGGUAAAAACAAGGUUACAAUGUACAAGGUUUUUAGUAUGAGGUGGCAUUCACAACUUUUACAAGGCUGGUAAAAACUGAAUCAACUUCUAAAAAUACUUUUAUAUUAUACUAUUAUAGGAUCUGGAGAAAAACCUGCUAAGUGGGCAUGUUCUGUCUAACAAAAUGUAUCUGUGGAAACACAAAGGAUUUGAUCCUCUCCUCAGAAAACAUUACAGCAAACAUGUGACUUUAUUCAAUGACAUGAAGAAUCUGUGCUUCUAACCACCACACCUUCAAAGAAAAAGAAAGGAGCUGCAAGAAAGGCAGCUGAAGAAACCGAGACCACCGAAGAGGAAACCCUUCUUAUCCUACAUAGCCUGGCUGCAGCUGACUGGUGCGAUAAGGCAACAUUCAAUGGAGGACUGAAACUCCCUGCUGCCCUUUUUAUGGACAGAGAAGAAAGAAAAGAAGCCAUCCAGGAGAUGGACCCCUGGGAUGGGGAACUGGAUGAGGAUUCUCCAGCAGAACUUUUUACAUUCGUUUUUGAAAGAAAAAAGGACUACGACAACUUCUGGGAAGAAUGUGUUGAUAAAAACAAUUACAGACUGUUUACAAGA